rnacentral:misc_RNA from 1 species
GCACCAUGAAGACACGGAUUGUGUUGGAGAAAUCUGAGAUGCCGUGCUUGACAAGCCAGGCGGCGUACCAGAGCCCCAGGGCGUAGGAGGCGUAGAGGAGAAAUUGCGCCACCCCGAAGCCACUGCCGGCGAUCUGUCCCUUCCAGAAGCACCGCCGCAGCGGACCUUCGAGGUUGGCGGCAAAGAGCUUCGUGAUCCUGAGUUCAGCGUUGAAAGCUGCCACAGUUCGGACAUUCGCCACCGCCUCACCGGCGAUCUGCGUCGCUCUCGCGUGUGCCGCCUCCAGGUCCCCGGAAAACCCUUUCAUGAACAUUUUCUGCAGUACAGUGGCAGCUACGACGACCGGGAAGACGGAGAUGAGAACGAGGGCGAGGCGCCACUGGAGGACGAACCCGGCUGUGCAGGCAACGAGCAUGAGGGCAGAGUUCUGCACAAUGACUGAUAUCCGAUCACCGAUUGCGGAACGUACAUUGUGGGCAUCAAGCGAGAGUCUAGCAGCGACCCUGGAGCUUGUGUUCUCUUCACGGUCGAACCAUGCAAUUUCAUUCUUGAGGACAGCUGCGAGCAUUUUCUCACGGACUCGCUUGGUCAGGUUCUCACCUACGACAUCCCAGAAGAGGUGUUGCAGGGUGUUGAAGAGUAGUGCGGCGGAGGACAUUCCUAUCAGUAGGUAGCAGUACUUGGCGAUCUCU